UGCAUAUGAAACCCCAAGCCUUUCCUCAGGA
rnacentral:piRNA from 1 species